AUGACUAGGGAUAACCUUAGGAAGAGACACAUCAUCAAACCCCUUGAUUGUGUUUACUGCUUGGAACAAGAGUCUUGUUCUCACCUAUUUUUUGAAUGUAUAGUUGCUAAACAUCUCUGGGCCCACAUUGAGGAAUAUUUCUCUAGUCAGAUUGGCUCAUCCUUCAAAUCUAUCGCCAGAUUCUGGAUUGCUACCAAAAAGUGCUCAAUUUUAAACACUGCUAACUUAGCUGUCCUUUGGUGCCUCUAGAAAUAUAGAAAUGCUAUGAUUUUCAGUAACACCUCCUGGAUUUCCAUUCCGUAGGUCUUGAGGUUGAUCAGGAACAUGGUGAGGAACUGGGCGAUUCUCUCCUCCGGAUCGGACAAGGACAAGUUGAUGAGCUACGUGGAAACCCUAACAAGAUCCCUCUAG
rnacentral:rRNA from 1 species